ACAAACUUGGUCAUUUAGAGGAAGUAAAAGUCGUAACAAGGUUUCCGUAGGUGAACCUGCGGAAGGAUCAUUAUUGAAUUAUGUUUUCUAGAUGGGUUGUAGCUGGCUUCUAGGAGCAUGUGCACGCCUGUCUGGACUUCAUUUUCAUCCACCUGUGCACCUUUUGUAGUCUUUGUUGGGUAUAGAGGAAGCGGUCAACCUAUCAGCUUUUGCUGGAUAUGAGGAUUUGCAGUGUGAAAGCAGUGCUAUCCUUUACUCGGCCGUGGAAUCUGUUUCCUAUCAGAGUCUAUGUUAUUCAUUAUACCCUAUAAAAUGUUAUUGAAUGUCUUUACAUGGGCUAUGCCUGUGAAAAUUGUAAUACAACUUUCAGCAACGGAUCUCUUGGCUCUCGCAUCGAUGAAGAACGCAGC
rnacentral:misc_RNA from 1 species